UUACUUAAAAUAAAUGGGUUUUUUUAAUAUAUAUUUUACACGUUAGAAACAAAGUUAAGACAAGAAGUAUUAGGUGAAGUCAUCGGAGAGGAAUCACCCAACUACUCUCCAAAUCUCCACAAAUUGAGUGUGUGCAGUAUUGUUACUAAUUUGCAUCGUUAUUGUUUUCUGAAAGCAAGUAGUACAUUGUUAUUACGCACAAAGUAUGUAAUAAGUAUAGGCAGUAUAAUAGCAACCGAACAUGAAGUUUGAGCCUUGCUCAGUCAUUUUUAAAACUCUUGACCUGCCUAUAUAAAGUUUUGUAACUACUUAAUUUUAAUAACAUGGCACCUAUUUGCUCCCUUAUAAGCUAUUUAUUUUGUUAGCAUCAUCACCCAACUAUUGUCUUAUCUUUGUUAUUACUGCUUUACUUGCAGACGCCUAAAGCUUCCUUCUAAAUUACCCUCUAUUGUGUGCAUGUGAGAGUUGUCUUUAUUCACUAGAUAUUGUAUAGAUGCAUAUUCUCUUUUUCCAACAGAAAGGGGGUGGAAAGACUAUGAUGGUGGUUACCAAAUAACUUUACUACUUGGUGGUAUGUACAUGGGCUGCCCAUGUGAUGUAGGAAAACAGGUUUUUGAAGCCAAAGCUCUCCAUGUGGAAUUCUGUUGGCUCGAAUCACCCACAAAAAAGCAGACAUUGGUUCGCACCUAUGAUGUAGAUGGCCAUGCCGUCUCAUCCACUUACUUUUUUAAAUGGGCCAGGUAGAAGCAAAACUCUUUUUGAGCAAAAUUAUAGAAUAGAUUAUUGUUAGAUUUACGAGGGUUAUACAACUCCAGUAUCUCUUAUUGAUUGAAAUGGACGCUUUCUUUUUUACACCCCAGCCACCGUAGUAAUAUUGUUAGAUCUGGUCGCAAGCUGCCACUUUUGUUCACGAUUUUUGAAGUCUAUCAAAUGACCAACUACAAGUAAGUUCAUUUCACUCCACAUACAAUCUAUAUCGCAGUUGAGGACACUCUGCCACCACCUCCACCUGUUCCAGAAGAUGUGCUCCCUGAACAAGCUCCGGAGCCAGUUAAGAACAACGUUUUUCUUUAUUUUUCGCAUUAAUUUUGGUUGUCAAGCUGAUUGUAAUUGUCAGGAAAUCAUGAAUGUUAAUAUUUCUGUUGUGAUCGAUAGUUUUAAUUGAGUCAUAUUCUUUAUUCAGAUUCUACGAGGAACCAUCCAUGAGCUCAUUUGUUUUUUUUUUAAUAUUUAUUUUCUUUUUCAUUAUAGUGAAGCAAUCAUUAAUCCUUCUCCUUAUUUUCAAUGCUUUUUGGGAGUGAGCUAUAUGAGACUACAUUGGCAAGGUCGCUAUGGGAAGGGAGCAAUCUGAUGCUAAAAAGUUGCAAUAAAAGAUGAGGGUACUAAAGAUAAUGAUGUGAAAAAAGGAAGAGCUUCAUGGAAGAGCAAAGGGCUUGAGGACUCUUGAUGGAUCCAAUCAAAAACGAUGGCAUUGGAGUAGCCGAGGAAGCUCAGUCACCACCUCCACCUGUUCCUGGACAAGCGUUGGCCAGUUAGGGUCACAUGUGGCAAUUUUGGCUAUCUAUAUUCUUAAUAAACGAGUGUUUUUAAAAGACGUUUCAAGGAUGACAAACAACUUUGAAUUGGUGUCCAAACAAUACAAUCCUGCCUUAAUAAUUUCUUUAAUUAAGGUGUUGUUUGGAUUUGGUGCUUCUAGGAUGGCAAACAACCUUGAUCAAUGCGAACACUAAAGCGGCUAAGGAACCCUUGAGUUUGGUGCCGCUUAGUGGUGAUCCAAUGGAUAUUAUGUUUGCUACAUGUGAUCCAAAGGUUGGUGGAAUCUUGUGGGGUAGUUAGUUAUCCUGGUGAAACUGGCUCCAUUACACUUGCUGAAAUAAUCUUUGGUGAUCAUAAACUCAUAAGCUAGGUAAAAGGUGCUUGUGGAUUUUUAUAUAUUUUACGUCAUUGGAGCCAAUAAACUGCCAUGUUGACUCAAAAGUCUCGGUUAAUAUGGGUGAGGAUAUUGUAAUUGGGUUUGAAGGUAUCAAUGUUAGCCCUUUGGUCUGUGAAAAGCUCAAACUUUUUGGUAGUUUAAUUUACCCUUCUAAUUUCUAAUUGUAAAUUGAAUUGUGACUUAAACUUGAGUUCAUUGAU